UUCACAUGUCUAGAUAAGGAUGGUAGUAUUUUUGAAAAACAAUAUAAUGUUAUCUCAGACAGCAGGACAGAGAGGAGCGAACACUGUAAACGUUUUUAAACAGCAGUGAUUACAGCGAAAAAAUUGGAAAAAUGACUAGAAGAGAGCGUUGCUCUCUCUUCCCCACGGUAGCCUGGACAUCACUCAAUCCAGGCUCCAAACCUAUUCUACCUGGCCCCCCAAUGGUUGAGCGACCUUCCUAUUCCAGGCAAGACUGCAAAGUCACUCCCUGCGUUCCAUGCAGUGAUGACGGACUGCUCCACCCAAAGAAAUGGGACUCACAGCAUUGGAUCUUUCCAUAAUCAUGCUUAUGUUAUCCUUUAUCAUCAAGCAUCACAGACCAGCUGCGUUGGUAAUUAUCUGUGUACUGUGUGCAGUUUACUGACAUCACCUCACAUCAUUUAUGUGUAAUGAGGAUGAACAUUUCUUAACAGCUUCCUCCUUUUGCAAUGCUAAUUGCCUGGUGCGACUAUAAGCUUUUAUUCAUUAUUCAAAUUCCUGAAAUGCUCCAAACUACUCCUCAGUCUUGUACAGUUUUCUGAAGUUAAGAUUGAGUAAUAGGGAUCAAUGGCAGUUUUGAUUUUUUUGUUCAUUGUCAGGUGAUGGGAUCACCGCAAAAGUUCUUUAAUUAUAUUCCCCACAGUAACAGUGUUUACAUUCUUUCAUUUACUUUGUGUCAUAGAGCAGUGGUGGGCUACUGUCAUCAUUAUGGAACUGGAGUUACAUUCAUGUAACUUUUUAGCCUUGUCUCACUACUAAAUAAGAGGCUACUGUUACGUUUUACUGAAUGGUUUGACUCAAGUGCAGGACUCAGACAAGGUGUGUUGGCUGAGCGGAGUGACUGGGUGAAGGAUCUCUGGCGAGUGAGACGGGGAGGAGAGACGGGAGAGACGGGAGGAGUAGCCAUGCCUCCAGACAUAAUGCACACACACAGAGAGACAGCCAUGGGAGAGACAGGACACACAGGGCAGGGGAAUAACAUAUGGAAACACUAAGGGAAUGCAGACAAGCUGUCACAGCCGUAACAGCUACUGCCGUGGUCCGUGGUGGAGGUGCCAUUGUUAGAUGUGUGUUACCGAGAAAGGACAAGUUUAUUGAGCCUUUUUUAAACUUUCUUAAUUUUGUCUUCAUUCUCAAUCAUCUCCACUGCAUCAGAAACUUGUAGGAGAAAACACAAGCAGCCCAGGCUGACCAAUCACAGUUCUUGCUGUCUCCACGCGGUGUCUCCAUAGCAACCAUAGCCCCGACGUGUUGUUGUUGUUGUUUUUUGAGGAGAUGCAUGACUAAGGUCGGCUAUGUGCAUAGUUUCUGAAUCUACACUGUGACCUCUUAAAGCACAACUAAAAAUCCACCAUCACAUGAAGUCAAGGCAAUUGACUUGAACCUUCUUACUGCUGAUGGUUUGAUGUUGUAGAUUUUGAUCAAUGUCCAACCAUUCUCUGGCUAAAGCUUCACAAAUGUAAGGAUUUUCUUAGUGUUACUUCAUUGCAAAUUGAAUGCUCUUGGGUUUUGGACAGGUAGUUGGACAAAAAAAAGAAUUUGAAGGACAAACACUUUUUUGACAUUUUAUAGACUAUAUAGCGAUUACUCAAUUAUUGAAAAGAAUUCUAAACACAAUAAUCAGUAAUGAAAAUAAAAAUGUAUAAGCUAC